CAAGAGUACGUGAAACCGUUUAGGGGUAAACCUGAGAAACCCGAAAGGUCGAAGGGAGAAAUUCAUUCGCGUUUCGACGCAGGCGUGAGGCGGAGUUCAGUGCGACGGAACGACCGUUUUUCGGAACGGGAUACGGUUUCGCGCCCUCCGUCUUUCGAACCGGCGGCGAACGCGUGCACUUUUCUCCUGGUAGGACGUCGCGAUCCGUCGGGCGUCGGUCUACGACUCGCGGUGGAGCCCGUUCGUUUCGUCUUUACGGACGUGGGAACGGACCCGCGACGUAUUCCGGCCGACUCGCUCGACGGUACGACCUAAGGUCGGAGGCCGCUCUCAAGGAGCGUUCGACUCGUCGCAAGCGCGCCACGUGUGUCGGCACGCGGACCCGGUGCCGCGUCCGAUCUCUGGUGACUGUUGGCGACGAAGUUCUCGGACAGACCUCUUACCGUUUUUUCGUCUCUUUCGGGAGCGAGAAAGCGCGUGUGUAAAGACCGAUCGGCGACGCUAUAGCUUUGGGUACUUUCAGGACCCGUCUUGAAACACGGACCAAGGAGUCUAGCAUGUACGCGAGUCAUUGGGAUUAUUACUAAACCUAAAGGCGUAAUGAAAGUGAAGGACGUUCCUAGCGAACGACCGAGGGAAGACGGACGAUCGUCGUUUUGGGAGAUUUUAAUCGAUUUCCGAUCGUCCUGCAUUCCCGGGGCGUCUCGUUCACAUCGCGUGAAGAGGCGCACCAUGAGCGUACACGCUGGGACCCGAAAGAUGGUGAACUAUGCCUGGUCAGGACGAAGUCAGGGGAAACCCUGAUGGAGG
rnacentral:rRNA from 1 species